rnacentral:rRNA from 1 species
GAAGUCUUAGUGGCGCAGCUAACGCACUAAGUAGACCGCCUGGGGAGUACGGCCGCAAGGUUAAAACUCAAAUGAAUUGACGGGGGCCCGCACAAGCGGUGGAGCAUGUGGUUUAAUUCGACGCAACGCGAAGAACCUUACCUGGCCUUGACAUGCAGAGAACUUUCCAGAGAUGGAUUGGUGCCUUCGGGGACUCUGACACAGGUGCUGCAUGGCCGUCGUCAGCUCGUGUCGUGAGAUGUUGGGUUAAGUCCCGUAACGAGCGCAACCCCUAUCCCUAGUUGCUAGCAGUUCGGCUGAGAACUCUAGGGAGACUGCCGGUGACAAACCGGAGGAAGGUGGGGAUGACGUCAGGUCAUCAUGGCCCUUACGGCCAGGGCUACACACGUGCUACAAUGGUGCGUACAGAGGGCUGCAAACCCGCGAGGGGGAGCUAAUCUCACAAAACGCAUCGUAGUCCGGAUCGGAGUCUGCAACUCGACUCCGUGAAGUCGGAAUCGCUAGUAAUCGCGAAUCAGAAUGUCGCGGUGAAUACGUUCCCGGGCCUUGUACACACCGCCCGUCACACCAUGGGAGUGGAUUGCACCAGAAGUGGUUAGUCUAACCUUCGGGAGGACGAU